GUCUUCCGUUACGCAUCGGCUCGGGUAAUUAUUGAUGUGUCCGCUGCUGUUGCUGCGUCAUGAAGUUGGGGUGAAAAGGCCACAAACGCGGUGUGUUCCGAAGUGGAGAGAGAGAAAAAAAAACAGGGGAAACUGCAAAAAAAAAUGAAUACAAAAAGAGAAAAAUAGGAGGAAUUGCACUGGUAUAUGCGUGGCUUGGAGAAGCUAUCAUCUCCAACGUAACGUGGUGGCCUCUUUUAUUUUUCGCUUUGGAGCACUCAUACGUGCACAGAGGUGAACGCAAACCGGUGUAAUCAGACGUCCAAUGUCGAGUGCGUGAGGAUCUUACUUCAGAAUGAUUCUCAUACAAUUACAAGAAUAACAGGCCCUAAUUUUGGAUUUAAAACCACUGGAGGAGCAUAAGCGUGACCCGGAGGAAUUAUGUAGUUACCAAUAAAAUUCACCAUUUUGAGAUUACGAUAAAGUUUGCUUUAAUGUCAGAAUA